UGGGGAAUAUUGGACAAUGGGGGGAACCCUGAUCCAGCCAUGCCGCGUGUGUGAAGAAGGCCUUAUGGUUGUAAAGCACUUUAAGCGAGGAGGAGGCUACUAGUAUUAAUACUACUGGAUAGUGGACGUUACUCGCAGAAUAAGCACCGGCUAACUCUGUGCCAGCAGCCGCGGUAAUACAGAGGGUGCGAGCGUUAAUCGGAUUUACUGGGCGUAAAGCGUGCGUAGGCGGCCAUUUAAGUCAAAUGUGAAAUCCCCGAGCUUAACUUGGGAAUUGCAUUCGAUACUGGAUGGCUAGAGUAUGGGAGAGGAUGGUAGAAUUCCAGGUGUAGCGGUGAAAUGCGUAGAGAUCUGGAGGAAUACCGAUGGCGAAGGCAGCCAUCUGGCCUAAUACUGACGCUGAGGUACGAAAAGCAUGGGGAGCAAAACAGGAUUAGAUACCCUGGUAGUCCAUGCCGUAAACGAUGUCUACUAGCCGUUGGGGCCUUUGAGGCUUUAGUGGCGCAGCUAACGCGAUAAGUAGACCGCCUGGGGAGUACGGUCGCAAGACUAAAACUCAAAGGAAUUGACGGGGUCAUAGCUGUUUCCUG
rnacentral:rRNA from 1 species